GAUGAACGCUGGCGGCGUGCCUAAUACAUGCAAGUCGAGCGAAUGGAUUAAGAGCUUGCUCUUAUGAAGUUAGCGGCGGACGGGUGAGUAACACGUGGGUAACCUGCCCAUAAGACUGGGAUAACUCCGGGAAACCGGGGCUAAUACCGGAUAACAUUUUGAACCGCAUGGUUCGAAAUUGAAAGGCGGCUUCGGCGUCCACUUAUGGAUGGACCCGGGUCGCAUUAGCUAGUUGGUGAGGUAACGGCUCACCAAGGCAACGAUGCGUAGCCGACCUGAGAGGGUGAUCGGCCACACUGGGACUGAGACACGGCCCAGACUCCUACGGGAGGCAGCAGUAGGGAAUCUUCCGCAAUGGACGAAAGUCUGACGGAGCAACGCCGCGUGAGUGAUGAAGGCUUUCGGGUCGUAAAACUCUGUUGUUAGGGAAGAACAAGUGCUAGUUGAAUAAGCUGGCACCUUGACGGUACCUAACCAGAAAGCCACGGCUAACUACGUGCCAGCCGCCGCUGUAA
rnacentral:rRNA from 1 species